UACAUGUGGGGCAAGCGUUGUUCGGAAUUACUGGGCAUAAAGGGUGCGUAGGUGGUUUGUUAAGUCACUGGUGAAAGUUUGCGGCCCAACCGUAAAAUUGCCUGUGAUACUGGCGAACUUGAGUGCGUGAGGGAUGGGGGGGAACGAGCAGUGUAGCGGUGAAAUGCGUAGAUAUUGCUCGGAAGGCCGGAGCCGAAGGGGCCCCAUUGGUACGUAACUGACGCUGAGGCACGAAAAGCGUGGGGGAGCAAACAGGG
rnacentral:rRNA from 1 species